rnacentral:rRNA from 1 species
CCCUUAGAUGUCCUGGGCCGCACGCGUGCUACACUGAAUAGUUCAAUGGGUGAGGUAGUGCGAAAGCAUGACCCAAUCUCUAAAUCUAUUCGUGAUGGGGAUAGAAGCUUGCAAUUAUCCUUCUUGAACGAGGAAUACCUUGUAGGCAUAAGUCAUCAUCUUAUGCCGAAUACGUCCCUGCCCUUUGUACACACCGCCCGUCGCUCCUACCGAUUGAAUGGUCCGGUGAGGCUUUGGGAGAGCUAAAUAGACUGUGCUUCACAGAUUAUUUGGCUUGAACUUAGUCAAACCUUACUAUUUAGAGGAAGGAGAAGUCGUAACA